rnacentral:rRNA from 1 species
GUGAGGAAUAUUGCUCAAUGGGCGAAAGCCUGAAGCAGCGACGCCGCGUGAGGGAUGAAAUCCGUUAGGAUGUAAACCUCUUUUGCAGGGGAAGAAUGUACGCCUUAGGCGUAUUGACGGUACCCUGCGAAUAAGCACCGGCUAACUACGUGCCAGCAGCCGCGGUAAUACGUAGGGUGCAAGCGUUGUCCGGAAUUACUGGGUGUAAAGGGUCCGCAGGCGGGCAAGAAAGUCAGUGGUGAAAGACUUCGGCUCAACCGAAGAAUUGCCUUUGAUACUUCUUGUCUUGAAUCCGAGAGAGGAUAGCAGAAUUCAUGGUGUAGCGGUGAAAUGCGUAGAGAUCAUGAAGAAUACCAGUAGCGAAGGCGGCUAUCUGGCUCGGUAUUGACGCUCAGGGACGAAAGCGUGGGUAGCAAACAGGAUUAGAAACCCUAGUAGUCC